rnacentral:rRNA from 1 species
AUGUUGGGUGCGCUCGCAUGGCAGGCCGCCACCGUAAUAAAGAUGGUUCUUGUGUCCCGGGGGGAGAUCGCACGGGGGUUAUUCUGUUUUAGCCCCGGGGUCUCCCCCCACCGUGUCCUGGUGUGCUCCUUUGUCUGCACCUCUCGUCCGAUCCGAUCUUCCUGGCACAACGUUCUACCGUCGCGAAUCGAUCAAGGUGCUACAAACCAAAGUUGA